GAUCACUGUGUUAUUAGAUCUGACUGUUACUAUAUCACUGUCUACACCAAUCGGAUUGCUACUAAAUCACUGUGUUAUCAGAUCACUCAGACCGUCACUAGGUAACUAUGAAUAUUACUAGAUCACUCUGAAUGUUACCCUGUUAUAAGACACAGACUGUUUCUAUGUGAUUCUGAAAGUCACUAUGUCACCCCAAUACUAGGUCACCCAGACUGUUCGUUGCAUGCUGUCAUUUCAUGUCCUGGCUGUCUGUAUAUAGGUUAUUGAUCACAUUAUAUUUCUCUAUUAUAGAUUUUCUGGGUUACUGCCUUGCUGACAAUGGAUGGAGGGAUGGCGGUGUCUUUAAUGAUGGGAUUGUGAUUAUUAACAGGUCUGUGAGCAGAAUCUCAUCCAGCCGUGCGUGAAUCACCCAGUGACGGUGACACACAAUGUGUGGGUUUCUGUAAGAGAGAAGGCAUUCACACCCGAUUGUCA